UACGUAGGUGGCAAGCGUUGUCCGGAAUGACUGGGCGUAAAGGGAGCGUAGGCGGCGCAGUAAGUUAGGAGUGAAAUCCCGGGGCUCAACCCCGGAACUGCUUUUAAAACUGCUGUGCUUGAGUGAUGGAGAGGAAAGCGGAAUUCCUAGUGUAGCGGUGAAAUGCGUAGAUAUUAGGAAGAACACCAGUGGCGAAGGCGGAUUACUGGACGACAACUGACGGUGAGGCGCGAAAGCGUGGGGAGCAAACAGG
rnacentral:rRNA from 1 species